rnacentral:tRNA from 1 species
GGGGUUCUAGCUCAUCGGUAGAGCGCUCGCUUAGCAACCUUGUGCCAUUGAUUGCGAGAGGCGCUGGGUUCGAUUCCCAGGUACUCCA